AGAAACACAAGCUUGGAUUUCCACAUCUUCACUCAUUCUUUUCGUUAGCAAACUAAAGUUAGCUGAUCACCAUUUAGCUGAGUUUUCAAUUUCAUUUUCUACUCUAGAGGAUAUAAACGCUCUUAAAUCGGAGCUGGCUCUGUUUUGAGAGGCAACUCAUUAGAGUCACUGAAGCACCAAAUAAUCUAUGGUGUUUACAGCGCUUUACGUUGCCGAUACAAACCUAACGGUGGUGCUGAGAUUCUGGCAACGGCUUCUUUCCGAUGGAGCUUCUGCAUUCAGAUGCGCCUACAUCUAAACUAAUUCCACUCAAUUUCAACGUUUCUUCACAUUUUGAUGCUCAAUAAAUCGAAGUAAAAUAGCCGCGCAGGAGAAUCGAUGUAAGGAUUAAGAGAUCUAUACUAAAUCGAUUGAAAUUUGUUCAGAUUUUUUUGUGCGCAGUCUCUAAAUCUGGAUCUGAGAUCUCCUAUGGUAGUUUUUCUUUGAAUUUGUUGUUUGGAGAAAGGCAACUCAUUAGAGUCACUGAUGCACUAAAGAAUUAAUGGUGUUUACAGCGCUUUACGUUGCCGAUACAAACUUCACGGUGGUGCUGAGAUUCUGGCAUUAGAUUCUGGCAUCGGCUUCUUUUGUGAUGAAGCUUAU